rnacentral:rRNA from 1 species
GUCUUUUUGAUGAAUAAUUUAAAGUUUAAUCUGCCCCCUGAUUUUUAAUUAAAGGGCUGCAGUAUAUUGACUGUACAAAGGUAGCAUAAUCAUUAGUCUUUUAAUUGAAGACUUGUAUGAAAGAUUGGAUGAAAUAUAAACUGUCUCAAAAAUAUUAAUAAAAAUUAAUUUUUUAAUUAAAAAGUUAAAAUAAUUAAAAAAGACGAGAAGACCCUAUAGAGUUUAAUAAUGNNNUUUUUUAUUUUUGAAAAAUAUAUUUAUAUUAAAAAAAUAAAAAAUAUUAUUUUGUUGGGGUGAUAAAAAAAUUAAAAUAACUUUUUUUUAUUUUAANNCAUAAAUAAAUGAAUAAUUGAUCCAUAAAUAAUGAUUAAAAGAAAAAAUUACCUUAGGGAUAACAGCGUAAUUUUUUUUUUUAGUACAAAUAAAAAAAAGAGAUUGCGACCUCGAUGUUGGAUUAAGAUAAAAUUUAAAUGCAAAAGUUUAAAAUUUUGAUCUGUUCGAUCAUUAAAAUCUUACAU